UACGUAGGUGGCAAGCGUUGUUCGGAAUUACUGGGCGUAAAGCGCGCGUAGGCGGCUCUUCAAGUCAGACGUGAAAGCCCCGGGCUUAACUCGGGAACUGCGUUUGAUACUGUCGAGCUAGAGUAUGGAAGGGGCGAUUGGAAUUCCUGGUGUAGCGGUGAAAUGCGCAGAUAUCAGGAGGAACACCCAUUGCGAAGGCAGCUCGCUGGGACGUUACUGACGCUGAGACGCGAAAGCGUGGGGAGCAAACAGG
rnacentral:rRNA from 1 species